rnacentral:rRNA from 1 species
GUACACGCUGUGACUAGCAUAUCAAUAAGCGGAGGAAAAGAAACUAACAAGGAUUCCCCUAGUAACGGCGAGUGAAGCGGGAAGAGCUCAAAUUUGAAAUCUUAAAGGGUUUCCCUUUACGAAUUGUAGUUUAAAGAAGUGUUUUCUGUUGAGGUUUUGGUAAAAGUUCUUUGGAAUAGGACAUCAUAGAGGGUGAGAAUCCCGUAUUUGACCUUUACUUUCAACUUUGUGAUACACUUUCAAAGAGUCGGAUUGUUUGGGAAUGCAGUCCAAAAUGGGUGGUAAAUUUCAUCUAAAGCUAAAUAUUGGCGAGAGACCGAUAGCGAACAAGUACCGUGAGGGAAAGAUGAAAAGGAACUUUGAAAAGAGAGUUAAACAGUACGUGAAAUUGUCAAAAGGGAAGCGUUUGACACCAGUGUUGUUUUUCUGAAAAUCAAUUAAAGAACUGUUUAUGCUAAGCUGCUUAGACUUUAUCAGCUAUCUGUUUAGUUUUGAGCUUUUCUUUAAUGCACUUUUCAGUUAACAAGUCAACAUCAAUUUCUUUUGCUGUAAAAAAGCUUGAGGAAGGUGGCUUGAGAUUCGUCUUAAGUGUUUAUAGCCUCUUGCCUAUGCAGUCGGAGAGAUUGAGGUCUGCAGCGUAGAUCCUUCGGGGCUAAAUGCAUUUGUGCUAAGUUAUAGCAUUUUAUAGACAACUUUGUUGACUAUGAUUUGUCUUGUAGCUUACUCGCUUAUGUUAUUUUACCUACGCUUAGGAUGUUGAAGUCAUCGUAUCGCGC